UGACUCUACAUAUUAUAUUCAUUUAAUAAAUAGAAGUAAUAAACAUUCAUGGAAAAACACAACAAUCAAUAAAAUGUAUCGAUUUUUGGCUAUGUCAGAGUAUAAAAAUAAUCUCUGACAAAUAUUGACAAAUUAAUAAAUAUAAAAAGCUUCGGAGAAAUUAUGAAUAGAUAGCGAUAUAGUAUAAAAGAAACUAAUCACCUAAUAUAAAGGAUGAUUAAUGAAACCGGGAUAGCGUUAAUUCGUGGGUCAGUAAUUGACCAAGGCUAUUUGUAAACCCGAAAAGCCAGAAAAAAAAGUCAGGAGUUCGUAAUAAAAUUGUUGUACUUUGGGUGAGAAA
rnacentral:lncRNA from 1 species